rnacentral:rRNA from 1 species
UGGGGAAUAUUGGGCAAUGGGGGGAAACCCGUGACCCAGCAACGCCGCGUGAAGGAAGAAGGCUUUCGGGUUGUAAACUUCUUUUACCAGGGACGAAGGACGUGACGGUACCUGGAGAAAAAGCAACGGCUAACUACGUGCC